GGUUUCAAUUAGUCAUCAAAAGUUUUGCAAAUUGCUGCUCCUACCUUAACCCAGUAUUUGAUCAAGUAACACAUCACCGUCUUCUCAAAUCAUUGACCAAAAGUAGUCCCAGUAUCCUCGUAGAUCAACUAUAACUCCAACUUGUAGUUUAUUAGGAAGCCUUGUGGGAAGCUGACCGGCAAAAAAUGUUUAAUGGAAAAUUGGUAACACUGAGCUGAACUUUGUUCUUGCUCGAAUUAUAAUUCGAAAAAGCCAGUGAAUAUCGAUUUCUCCAAAACAAUUGCCUGUGGGUCAACUCCUUACAGGGAAACCUUGUGAGCAUUUCCCAAUCCCAUAUUUCAUGUCAUCCCCCUAUCCCCCUUCCUUGACUGUUUGUGUUAUAGUACCCCUGUCCUGUCAAUGACUUCUUGUGUUGAGGUCCCUGCUUUUUCCCAACUUUUUUCCCUUUUCUGAGCUUCUUGUGUUAAGGUUAUAGUUGAUUUUUUCAAACUUUUUCCAAUUUUUUUCUCCUACCUUCUGCAUCUUCUCAUCGACAAACGUUGCCAAACUACCAACCUGAUAGCAGAUUUUUUAUGCCUUACGGGUUGAAAACGCUGUUUCUCUACGAAAUCACUUUGUCUGGUAUGAGUACAGUCUGGAAGAGCUCAAUGAUCAUGAUGAAGACGUCUACCGACAUCAUAAGCAAAUGUUUGUAAGAAGCACCGGGAGUCAGUAUAGCAAACAGCUCACAAUUAAACGCCAACGUUUAAACAACACAUUGGAUGACUGCUAUUGUUGCAUGUUAGAUUUACCGCGUAGCAUGUGCUCGAUGAUUACAAAAGAGGGAAACAUAACUUCGGCAGUCGAAAGUCGGUGAACAUAUUGGAAGGGUCAAAAAAGAAAGAUGGGUCAUAUGCUUUAUGUAUUAAAUUUAAUUGUUUUCUAGUUUUUCUUCUAAAAAAAGUUUCUCAAUAAAAUUUUAUUCGA
ensembl:lincRNA linc-140 ncRNA